GUUCCUUCCAGUGCAAUAAUAGUUUUAUGUUUAUUUGGUACCAUUUCAUUGCUAACAUCAGCCAUCAGGUUCCCAAACAUAUGCAAGCUAAUGUAAGUAAAGUAUCAGUGCUAUCGUUAUUCUGUAUAGUUGUAGAAGAGAAGCAACGGAGGUUUGUAUGUUUAAUAUAUUUCUCUGAGCAGUAUGAACAAUGUCAAUGAAACCGAAAUUAGCUCUUAGUAUCUCCGUCAUUUACACGCAGAUGUUCUAGCUGUAGCUAAUCUGUGUUACAAUUGCAUGACGUGAGUUGUCUGCCAGGGAAAUUACGACACAUAUGAUUACAUUUAUGUUACAAGGUACACAAUUCUUUUUCAUCAUUGACGCGAG